GAUGAAGAACGCAGCGAAAUGCGAUAAGUAAUGCGAAUUGCAGAAUUUCCGUGAGUCAUCGAAUCUUUGAACGCACAUUGCGCCCAUUGGUAUUCCGAUGGGCAUGCCUGUUCGAGCGUCAUUGCUGCCCUCAAGCACGGCUUGUGUGUUGGGCCUCCGUCCUCCUCCCGGGGGACGGGCCCGAAAGGCAGCGGCGGCACCGCGUCCGGUCCUCGAGCGUAUGGGGCUUCGUCACCCGCUCUUGUAGGCCCGGCCGGCGCUUGCCGACACAUCAAUCUUUUUUCCAGGUUGACCUCGGAUCAGGUAGGGAUACCCGCUGAACUUAAGCAUAUCAAUAAGCGGAGGA
rnacentral:misc_RNA from 1 species